UGAUCCUCAGUUUUGGAAAGCUAUGGUGACAAAAUAGAAUGAUGUGCAAGUUACUGAAAAAGAAUUGCAUAUGAAACCUUGCCAGAGAUGGAGAAAGACUUCUGUACAUUUAUGGAGAAGAAGAAAUAGGGUUAAGGUCACUGAAUGUGUUUCACCUGGUUGUGAUUAUUCAGAGAUGUGGUCUGCCACACAAGCUGUAAAAUCUGGGAUACGUGUAACAUAGCUACACUCAGAGGUCUAGUUUACUGAGAAAAGCCCAGACGAGUUAUUUGCAAGAGAUUUAUUAGAACUUGAGCCAUUACUGCAACAGGAAUUGUGCUGCAAGGAAAAAUACAAAUUAUCUGUCACUGCUUCUAACAGAGCUGGGAGGGGGAAAAUGCAUGAAUCUAGAAGCUUUAAUUACCUGCAGAAAUGUGAGUUGGUUAUGCAGCGCCUAUUUUAAUUACCAUCUGAUUAAAAUUAAUCUUAGCUAGGAAAGGAGAAAGUGAAAUAAGGAAACUGCAGUCUGCAGGUUAAUGUUCCAAAUGUCACCAAAUGCAGACAAGUAAAGAGGAGAAGAUUGGGAUGAAGGGCACGUACUGUGAGUGACUAUCUACAAAGUAAAAUAUGUUUUAAAAUUUUAUUGUGUCAACAUGCUUUCAUUCUUUCUGAACUUCUGGAAAAGUUGCAUUCAUCAUUUUUCUACCAGAGGCAUCUAAAUAUGGCAAUACUUUCCUUAAGUAAAAGCAUUCCCGGUGAAAUGAAAUUAUUCCAAUUGUUCCUAGGACUUUGACCCCAGUUCUCUGUGGCUGUUUCUUUCAAUGGCAAAUCUAGAAUAUAGUUGAACAUCAUAUCGUUCAUUGUUUAUCAUUCCAGUAUUUCUACUUAAUUUUUCAGAGCUAAAGAAGACUAAGAGGAUCCUUAUUAUGUUCUCAAAAUUGACCAUUAGUAACUUCUUUGAAAGUCAUGACAAAUGCCCCAAAAACUCACGUUUAUGUUUAAUAAUGUGUAUGUGUGUGCAUGUGUGCUGAUUCAUACCACCUGCCUUGAUGGCGUGCAUCAGCAAACCUGGGAAUAUUACCCAUGUGUUAAGUAGUACCUUGUCAACAUUGAGACCUUAAAAAUUAUCUUUUACACACACAGGUAAUUUGCAACUGCCUUACCA
rnacentral:lncRNA from 1 species